GGGUUUCCAUGGAGUUGUAUGAAAAGAAGUCUGGAUCACUGCCAGUGAAUAACAACCAGAGCCCUUCUUACAGGAAACAUGCUUUCUUUGGCUUCAGCCAACCACAUAUCCUCCAAUAUCCUCUCCUAGUCUUUUGUGUCUGCAUUUGCUGUUACCUGGCCUCUACUAUGUCAGAAAUGUCUCCAGAGAUGAAGAUAUCCCUGGGACUGCAACCUGCAGCUACAUACAGUGUCUGCCACAACCCCUGGAAUUCCCUAUGGUCCAUGGUAGCAGAAGACCCUGGCACUUGAGAGGAGUCCACCACCCGAGCCCGGGGAAAGUUCAGUGAAAGCUCUAGUACAGUGUUCUACUUAUUUCUUGGCAUUGGCUCUAAGCCAGGGACCACUGAAGACCAGGGAUGAGAUGGAAACAAAGUUUUCAAAGCUUCUGGAUGCCUGCCAGAUCCUAACAAGCAAGCAAGAUGUGUCACUCCUUCCCUUAGCAUUCCCUGAUCUUCACAAGCCGAUGCCCCCCCCUAAACACCUGACCUUGGUCUGAAGAUGCCCACCAGGGAAAGAAAUGCUUGACUCUCAAGGAUGCAGAAAUACUUGAUAAGGGAAUUGAGUCCAACCCAAGUUGGGCAGACUUUGCUGCCCUGGUGGAAGACAUUCACUUUCUCCUGUUUUUCUACUCCUUGGAUGCUCUUGACCAAUCCAGUCAUCCUAUAGCCACUGAAGUCAAAGAUGCUGGAGCCACAGCAGUGAAUUGCUUGCAGAAGUCAGGUGUCACAAAAGGUCCCUUUGUGCCAAAUGAGGAAGAACAAGAAAAAGCCUCUAGGCCAGUCACUGGAGCACCUGAGGGUAAAAUCCAGCUGAAAGACCCCAGGAUCUUUCAGAGUGAGAAAUGUUUGUUUGUAUUGCAGUGGCUAGUGAAAGGGCUCUUGUGAACACUGCCAAGCAUUACAACAGCAAACCUCUGAGAGCAUCUUUAGCAGGACCAGGAAAAUUAAGGUCUGUGAAUAAGCAAGGUCCAAGAGGACUAGAGAAGGCAAGUGCAGAAAAGCAUAAAAGAAGAAGCAAUUGGGAAAUAAAGUCAUUGCAGAAGAGAAGCUAAACAUUCCCAACAUGAAGCACAAGAGAAAUUAGCCUGUGGUUGGCCAAGAGGUCUUUCAAAAGCCUCUCAACUGCCUAGGUGUGCACAUGAUGGAGUCAGUGCAGGUUUUCCACACUCUGGGGAAGAAGACUGACAAGAGAGCUCACUCUUCUCUUCCAGGUCCCUGGGAGCCUCGAGCAGCUCCAAAGACCCCAAGCCAUCGCCAACAGCAGAAUGGUGGCUGCGGUCCCUUAUGAGGUGAAGGAGCUUGAUAGGGCUCAGAUCAGCUCUCUGAAACCACACAGCAGUGUUGAUAAAAAGGUUCCGUUUCCAUCCCCACAUCAGAUACCACCACCUGGGAAGGUCAAAUUAAUACCUUUGCCUUUUCACAGCCCAGGCAGGCCUCAAACAUGAACCAUGUCUCAAAGGCAGCAGCCCCUAGCCUUACAUUGGCCCACUGCAGCUUACCCUGACUGGCCUAUUGCUAUGAGCACAGCUCAGUCAACCCAACCAGCUGCUGCCAACAACUCACCAGCUCAGCCAUCCCAGACAAUGUCAGCCAACUGGGCUCAACCACCUUGACCCAGCUUAGCUUUCUUCCAUCUUCCACUGCUAGGCCUGCAUCUAUGCAACAUCACCACCUGCCUAUUUCUGUUGGGAGCCACUUCUGUGACAAAGGGCUGGUCCCUGCCUAAGCUGAAAAGCCAGUUUCUCCUCCAAGGUUUCAGCUAAAAACCAGUUUUCAGGAGGAAAACCCAGUAUUCCUGAACCAGUAAUGCCAAGCCAACUCAGAAGAACAGGGGUCAGAAUGGAAAGCCAUGAAGAGGCAGGCUCAGCAAGUGCAGGAGCUGGCCACCAAACACAGCUCUUCAGGGAAGCUUCAGUUUUCAAGGCAGAGGGAGAAAGACAAGGAAGUUGUUCUGUACUAUGGGUAUGAAAGAUGAGAGCUGCUAGGGCUGUAAAUAGCAUAUCAGGUACUGUGUGGCUUUCCACAUAGAUGUAUCAGAGAGAUGGAUAAAAACAUGUUCAUUCUAAUAUACUGUUUAAUAUACCAUUCAGUAGACUGCUACAGAAGAAGCAACAGAUAAGGAAUAGACACCUUUUUGAGUACUGAGAUGGUGUACACUGUGUUGUACCAAGUGGAAUCAAAGGCUGCGUUAGAAAGAAGGAAUUUAAAAUUGAAUGGGAGAAAAUGGGCACACAAGAUAAGAACUGAAGGAGAAAGAAAUAAGAUCUGAGCCAAGGAAGUCCAAAGAGGAGAAAUGAUAUGGGCUUACAAUAAGAACCAGUAAUGGGUUAAAAUGACUGGAGAUGCAAAGUCUGGUGCCAGGGUGAAAGGAAUGCAUUUUGGAAAGGGUAAAGAUGGCAUCAGAUCGGUUGGAGGUGACCAGAGGAAUGGCAAAACAUCUAUCUGGGAAAAAAGGCCUCCUGUCUUCAGAUGGACUAAGUAGGCAUUUUAGAAAAUACAAUUUGAGACUACAAUUGGGAAAGGUGGCUCCCAAACACUGGUUAAAUUACAAGGGUGUGGCCAGGCUUCACUGUAAUCCUGGGGGCAGCACAUAUGCUGAGGCCUUGCCAAAUGAGGUGCAGUAGCAUAAGACCCACCCAGAACAUGCCCUGGAAUAGAAAGCACUACCUCCACAUUACCUAUGCACCAAGGCAGCACAGCUGCAUGACUUUAACUGACUUUCAAGCACACAAGGCCAAUAUCACUGUGUCCCUUUACAGUGAGAUUGAGCAAUGGGCUGGGAUUCUGUCACAUGGGCAGGCAGCAAGGCUUCAGUCUGGAACCUAAGGCCCUCUGAAGUGUUCACAGAGUGGGAGAGUGCCCACAGUGGGCCAACCUGGCCUGCAGGGCACAGCAUCCAGGGGUCAAAGCUGGGCAGAUCAAACUUUCUCAGUAAGGGUGAGUGAAUAUGAAGUUGAGUUGCCUUCCAUGCCCGCCACCCACAAACCAUGCGAAUGCUACCCUCUGGGACUCUCGCCUUCUCACAGAGAGCACAAGAAGAUCCGGCUUGCAGUGACAUUUCCACUGUGGGUGAACCAUAUAUUUGGGCAGGUUGGCUGUUUGGUCUGCACACAGAGAUGCCCUCUAUCAGCUGCAGGACACAACCACCAGCCUUCUCCAGAGGAAUAGGGAUAGGGGAAGAGGUCAAGAGUGGAUUGGGGUGUGAUAGGAUACAGGGUGAUGGAUCGGGAGAAUGGUGGGAAGAAAAGGAAUGAAGUGGAGCCAGCAGAAGACAAAGGCAGAGGACCCGCACCAGGGGAAAAUUAAUAAUUUAGAUUUUCAAAAUUACUUCUUUAGCUAAAAUUCAUGUAAUAAAAUCCACCAUUUAAAAGUACAGCCUAUUGCAUUUACCCACUAGGGGAUUCGUAGCAUUUUCAUCAUCCCUAAGGGAAAUCCUUGUAACCUGUUAGCAGUCUUACCCACUAAUCUCUCUGCACUUUCCUAUCUGAAUCUUACCUACACAAGGAAUCAUGCAGCACAUGACCUUUUAAGUGGCUUUUUUCAUUCAGCAGAUUAUUUUCAAGCUUCAGCCAUGUAGCUGACUAUGAGAAUCCUUCACAUAUUCAUUGCAUUCUGUCAUUGUAUAGAUAGAACACAUUUGCCUGUCCACCAACCAAUUAAGAGGUAGACAUUUGAAUGCAUUCCUCUACUAAGUAAAAUUUAGUAGCUUACUGUGAGGCACCAGGCUGUUAUCCAUCCUAUUCACAGAUGAGGAAAUUAGAGGAUGUCAAGAGCUUGUCAAAAUUAAGGGCUAGAAACCCUAGUCUAUUGUUCUAGCUUUCAUUCUAGUAAAGUCAUAGAUACACAUGAUAGAAUAAUCAAACAGAUACCAAGGAAUAUUUGAUUGAAAUGCACCCUUCAGACUUCCAGCUUCCCUCCUUCCCAUCUCUUAGAAAUAUUAAUUGACCACGUGGUCCACUCUUCCAGAGAAAUUAUAGACUGAUAGCCCCAAGUUUGUAUCACAACUGAUGAAAUGCUCUGUCCCACUGACUUGAAAUGCUGCUUGCCUUAUUGUUAAAUCCCUAUGUGCAGUUGCAUUACUCUUUUCAGAAUUUUCUCACCAUAAGACCUACCAUAUUUUCAUAUCUCAUCUAGACCCCUCCCUCAGAGGUCCACUGAGGCAUUGCUGAAAGCUGAACACCCAGAGAAAAGAUUCUACCUGUAGACUUCCUUACACAAAGCCAGGUCCAUCACUCCCUACUCAAUAGGAACUCAGUCCAGACUCAUUUUAUCGCAGUCACAAGAGAAGGUACUGAGGAGUGUGCUAACUGGAGGAGCAAAUGCAAAGGAGUGCACAUCAAGUUAGGGUGGCUGUAGACACUAAUAGUUUAGGCUGGGACAGAAACUACAACUCAUCACAAGGCCCUUUUUCUUGAAUUUCAUUCAGAAACCCAUUAGGCGAGUUAGUUCCUGAAGCUUCAAAAUGAAAGACCAUCAAGAGAAAAACAUGUAAUUCUGUCUUCCAAGGUUGGAGUCCUUCAACACAUGAUGGGAGAAAAGGAGGAGAAAAAAACAUUUUAGAUGUUUUCCUUCAUGGCAUAGAAUUCAAGGUACUUUCUGGACUGUGUAGCUAUUUAAAACACACUGAAUUAUUUGUCAUGUAGAUAAAAAGUCAUGCGGGAGUGUAUUAACUUCUCCACAGAAAAUAAGAAAACCCCAUGAGUAUCUCUUGUCUCUAUUUGUCUUAUUGCUCAUCCUUUUCUAACUAUACUCCUAUCCAUUUUGCCUGGCAUUAUGGCCUUAUGGCCAAAAAUAGCAGAACAGGAAUUUGAUAUUCUUGUGCUAGCUGUCUGUUGCCUGGUGAGAAGGCUGCAGUAACUGCCCCACUGGAUUCACUUACCUAAGAAGACACGAA
ensembl:lincRNA